rnacentral:tRNA from 1 species
GUAAAUAUAGUUUAACAAAAACAUUAGAUUGUGAAUCUAACAAUAGAAACUCAUUACCUUCUUAUUUACCG